rnacentral:lncRNA from 1 species
CAGGACAGCUCACAGUCUCCUGAGCGGGUGACUCAUGCCGUCAUGUUGGGUGUUGUUGGAGGCUUCCUGACCCCACGGCGUGGACAGAAGCAGCAGGGUGAAGAAGGUGGUCGGGUGAGCAAAGCGUGACAAAGAUCCUGAGCAGCUAUGUUUGCCAGACAUGUUACCGAGUGAGGAUUUAUCUGUGGAUCAGAGGGCGGAUCACAGCAACCAGAGCGAAGGUAAUGUGUCUUUGAAAUCGGCCCAGGAAAUCCUUUUGGUGUGUGACCCUGUUAGCAGAGGAAAUACCAUCCCAGCUGACCUCAUCAGCAAGCAGCCUCUGCCUGCUGCAGCCCUACACGCAUCAGAGAGGACUCAGCCUGACCUCCAGACACCCACAUGCCCACGAUGUGGCCUCACAGUUCCAGAACCCAGACUCCCACCGCUGUCCUCAAGCCAGCUGCAGAGCUCCAAGCUGUCGGUGCACAGCGGCGGCAGCAGAAGGAGCCGGAGCCGGAGCAGUGUGUCUGGAUCUCAUAGACCUGCUGCUACACCUGCUGACUCGUGGUUCCACCUGCUGCUGGCCUGCCUGGACUGCCGGUGCUCCGUGCUGCUGCUGGGUCUGCUGGAGGCCUGCUCGUCCUGCCUUGGUGGCCUCUGCUCCUCCUGCUGCCGCGCCUGCGCCCGCUGCUGUUCGGCCAUCCAGGACGCGCCCGUGGAAGAGCUCAAUUGUCACGCU